UGCUCUAGAAAGGACAGCGCAGUAUUACGCUUCUAGAAGUUUGUUGCCAGGAGCUGAUGUCUUAUAGGCACUUGGAAAACACAAGAAAGAGAAAAAAAAACUCAGACAGGACAAAAUUAAAUAACAUUUAUCUAAACUAGUAUAUGUUCUAGAGAGGCAGUAGAUGUUGCACAAAUCAUGGUGUGAACAGUCAAAUGUGCAAAGAACUGUCAGUGAUGGAAAACUGGAGUGGUGAAACUGCGUAGGUUCUGGGGUCUUAUACAAAGAUAGGAGCUGCAAUUUGGUGGAAAAAUUUGACUUAUCUGUUUAGCAUGUAAUUUUCCCUGAAUCUACCAACCAUAACUAUAUUCCUAGGACAUCUGCAGGACAUUGAGUGAAGUUUUAUAACAAACUGUCCACAGUUACUCCCAAUGGAUUCCCGAGUUUCCACUUCACCUAGCAACUUUAAAAGAACGAAUCCACAAAUAUCACAAAAGGAAAUGUAAGGAUGUGCCUCUUUGACGUGAAGCCAUCUCCUACCCAUGUCUGUCUGGUGUAGCUCACAAAGUCAAGAAUUCUCUUCUCUCUGCAGACCAUAACUGCUGAUUACCAUAAUGCAUAUUGUAGGAAACACUACAUCUGAUCUGAAAAUGGCUCCCACUGACUUCUCUCAGAUGUGGCCUUGAAACAUCGAGCUGGUCCAUCAUCGACUGCUUCAAGAACUACUUCUGUUAUAAUCUAUUGUCCUGUAUUCAUGCCCCCCUGGGUUCUGAAAACUGCAUCCAGUAUUGCUCUCAAGGAGAACUCCAACUUCACCAAAUUAAAAUCUGCAUUAAUACUUCUAAGUUGCAUCAAACAAAACACUUCUUAAUGGCUUUUUCAGUUCCACUCUCUCAGCUGCACUGAACAAUUUUCAGGCUUCUUCAGAGUCCCCCAUGGCUUUCACUAACACAGAGGCAAGGACAUUCCCACUUUUCACAGUUCUCAGAGCUUCCUCUUUGCUGCUUACUGAUUCCUCAACAAAUGCAGGGAAUUUAAUAGUACAGGAUUAUCCAACUACUCAACUCCUUUCUUGCAGGUCAGGAAAAAAAAUGGUAAUGCAAACAUGGAGUCUGCACCAGCUGUUUCUCUUUGUCCCACAAUCUCAAGCUCUUGAACUGCUUUUCAGUGACCGCCAUGAAUGGCCUUUUGGAAACACUGCUAUAAACCUACUCUCAUCAAAAUGAACUGGUGCCAUGUAGCUAGUCUUCAACCUU